GUGCUCACUUUGACAGCACAUAUACUACAACUGGAACAAUACAGAGAUUAGCAUGGACCCUGUGCAAGGAUGACACAAAAAUUCAUGAAGCAUUCCAUAUUUCA
ensembl:snRNA U6 U6 spliceosomal RNA